rnacentral:lncRNA from 1 species
CUCUCUGCUGUGAUUGACAUGUAAACAGACACGCCCACAAAUGUUUGCAUUGAGCAUGAGCUCGGCUAUGGAGUGGGUGGGAGGAGGGCUGGCCGUCCUCUGGCCCUACGUCACCGUGUGGGGAGGAGGAAGUCAGUGUCCCUUCUAUAGACACAAAGGCUCAGAAAGUGACUUUUCAGAGGCUAAAACUCUGGAAAACAGGGUUUGACAUUCAAAUGAAAGGACCAGAGCUGAGUGAAAAGGACUACACCGCGAGGGCAAACCCCUACCGAACAAUUCAGCAGAAACCUGGAACUUCUCGCAGCGCGGACGUUUACGUCCUCGAUCCAAAAUCCACCUACAGGUUUCGGAUUGUCCCCAAAGCUCGUCUGACAGCAGGACAGCCAUCUAAGGUCCACCGGAUUGGCCCAGGGGAGGGUCUGAGUGGUCCAGCCAUCGCUGGGAUCGCUGCUGGGAUCCCCUGUAGCCUCCUGUUCCUACUCCUGCUGGGUGGUCUCAUCUUCCUCUGCAUCCACCUCAACAAGAAAAGAAGUCAUCAGACAAGAUAUCCAGUCUCAAGAGUUAAUGAGGCAAAAAACGACCCAGCCUGAAAAAACUCCCCAUCAUUUGCUAACAGGGGUGUGAAGUCUUUUACCAGAUUACAACAAAUUACACCAGGUGAUGUUCAUGAACUGAUGGUAACCAUGGUAACCAGUUUGUUUAAGUUGUUGAUAAUAAACCAACCUGCGGUGCUUUUUGCUUUCA